GCUGAAACAGAGACGUGAAUGUCAGAGCGAGGAGAAGAAGAGAGAUGUUUUGAAGUGACCGGUAGCUACAGUUUCCUGUCACAUGUCUGAUGAUCAGCUGAAAGAUGUGAAUCAAACUUACAGUUCGUCUGUAGUCUGAGCGGGAGCGGUGUGACGGUCCGAAGCGUGAGACGGCGUCAGCUGGGUGUGACAGAGACAAUUC